rnacentral:rRNA from 1 species
GACGAACGCUGGCGGCGUGCUUAACACAUGCAAGUCGAACGGACAGGCCCUGCUUUUGUGGGGUGCUCGAGUGGCGAACGGGUGAGUAACACGUGAGUAACCUGCCCUUGACUUUGGGAUAACUUCAGGAAACUGGGGCUAAUACCGGAUAGGAGCUCCUGCUGCAUGGUGGGGGUUGGAAAGUUUCGGCGGUUGGGGAUGGACUCGCGGCUUAUCAGCUUGUUGGUGGGGUAGUGGCUUACCAAGGCUUUGACGGGUAGCCGGCCUGGGAGGGUGACCGGCCACAUGGGGACUGAGAGACGGCCCAGACUCCUACGGGAGGCAGCAGGGGGGAAUAUUGCACAAUGGGCGGAAGCCUGAGGCAGCAACGCCGCGUGCGGGAUGACGGCCUUCGGGUUGUAAACCGCUUUCGCCUGUGACGAAGCGUGAGUGACGGUAAUGGGUAAAGAAGCACCGGCUAACUACGUG